GAGCCGCAAGUUCCAAGUCUCGCGAAAGUUUUCCUUUCCUGAGAAUUUGGUACAAGUCGCGCGAGAAUGGCUUGUCCGUUCAUAAGGCUGCACGGGACGCAAAGGUGAGGCGCACUGGAAGAUUAAGAGGUCCGUGCUUCUAGUAUGUUCGCGCUGUGUGUGGCUUAAGACUCGGGUUGUAGACGCUCACACCAGGCUAGUGGUCUGGCAGGAACGUUGACCUUAGAGGAGUGAUGGUCCAACCCACUCUUCUACAGAAAUCUUUCCAGGUGCCUUUCCCAGUGGAUGGGAGUCUAUGUUCUGCACCUCCAGGAACCCUGGAGAAUGGAAGCUGGACAGAUGGAGAAGUAGACCCAACACAGAAGAGGACCAUCCCUCACCACCAUCACCAGCCUUCCUUAUGGUGUGCUUCCGGACUGGAGGACUGGAGUCCGUUCCAGAAAAGCAGAGUGUUUUUGAAAGUAAUGUCCAACUGUCUAAGAUGAUGUGGAUAUGCUGGUGUUCCGAGUCAACUCUUCAGUUGAAACCUUUUGCUUCAUUUUCUCCAUGUUAAGUUAUCAGUGUUAUUUCUUGUUACUCCCAGUGAUUUUCAUUCUGAGGCUGCUGCCUGGUCUCUUGGGACAUUAAUAUUUAUGAUUGUCAGUGCCCGUAUCAUUGCUCCUGGCACAAAUUAGCAACUUAUUUAAGCUCAUCAAAAAUAGAUUCACUCUUCCUGUGAUGAGUAUCAUUGCCUUUGUGCUUAAAAUUGUAAAUGGCCGCUUUAGUAUAUGUGCUAAAUUUCUUGACAAAAUUCUAGUGUAAAAAUGAAACUAAUUUGUUAAGUGGCUAUUAUAAAAGAAAUCCAAAACUCUUAAAUAGAAAAAGUAUGGAUUUUGUUUCUUUGCUUGUUUUUUACUUUCCUCAUAUUUUAUUUUAAAAAUGUGCUUAAAAAAUUAAUGGUUCUAAAUGGCUGAAAGUAAAAAAGAUACCAAUCUAACUGAUCUCUUUUUAUACCUGAGUCCCACUACCCAGAAGCAAAAAUAUUCAACUCUAUUAGCUAUUUGUUCAGGUAUUUACAUUAAUAUUUCUAGAUGUCAUGUUUACAUUGUGGUUUGUGGAUUUAGACAUUCAGAUGUCAUUUGUUGAUUUAUUCCUGUGAUUUAUUAGGGUUUAGCCAGAACGCAUGUCCACCUGCACAUUUAUUCUCUGUAUUGCCAGUAUAUAUACUCUGGUUAAGUCAGUACUCAGUAUUUAUGUUUAUUGCUGAAGUAACUGACCUUACUGAAGUAUACUCUCAGUCAGUUCCAGUUAGUGAAACAUGGCUUUGUUUUGUACAUUGCAAAUUUUUUUUUUCUUUUCUAUGUAUUUAUUACAAAUUCAUCCAGAAUGCUUUCAUUUUUCACACAUUGUCCCAGAACUUUCCUGCAUUAUCCAGAGUUGAUCCUUUGUUUCAUGCAUCCUGUUUACUCAUUUCUUGGUUUGUUCUACUUCUUAAUAGAAUACAUCCUUCAAAAGUUUUCUAAGAAGAAA